CCUACGGGAGGCAGCAGUGAGGAAUAUUGGUCAAUGGACGAGAGUCUGAACCAGCCAAGUAGCGUGAAGGAUGACUGCCCUAUGGGUUGAAAACUUCUUUUAUAUGGGAAUAAAAUGUUCCACGUGUGGGAUUUUGUAUGUACCAUAUGAAUAAGGAUCGGCUAACUCCGUGCCAGCAGCCGCGGGAAUACGGAGGAUACGAGCGUUAUCCGGAUUUAUUUGGUUUAAAGGGAGCGUAGGUUGAUUGUUAAGUCAGUUGUGAAAGUUUGCGGCUCAAACGUAAAAUUGCAGUUGAUACUGGCAUUCUUGAGUACAGUAGAGGUGGGCGGAAUUCGUGGUGUAGCGGUGAAAUGCUUAGAUAUCACGAAGAACUCCGAUUGCGAAGGCAGCUCACUGGACUGCAACUGACACUGAGGCUCGAAAGUGUGGGUAUCAAACAGGAUUAGAUACCCCAGUAGUC
rnacentral:rRNA from 1 species